GAUGAACGCUAGCGGGAGGCCUAACACAUGCAAGCCGAGCGGUAUUUGUUCUUCGGAACAGAGAGAGCGGCGCACGGGUGCGGAACACGUGUGCAACCUGCCUUUAUCUGGGGGAUAGCCUUUCGAAAGGAAGAUUAAUACCCCAUAAUAUAUUGAGUGGCAUCAUUUGAUAUUGAAAACUCCGGUGGAUAGAGAUGGGCACGCGCAAGAUUAGAUAGUUGGUGAGGUAACGGCUCACCAAGUCAAUGAUCUUUAGGGGGCCUGAGAGGGUGAUCCCCCACACUGGUACUGAGACACGGACCAGACUCCUACGGGAGGCAGCAGUGAGGAAUAUUGGACAAUGGGUUAGCGCCUGAUCCAGCCAUCCCGCGUGAAGGACGACGGCCCUAUGGGUUGUAAACUUCUUUUGUAUAGGGAUAAACCUACUCUCGUGAGAGUAGCUGAAGGUACUAUACGAAUAAGCACCGGCUAACUCCGUGCCAGCAGCCGCGGUAAUACGGAGGGUGCAAGCGUUAUCCGGAUUUAUUGGGUUUAAAGGGUCCGUAGGCGGAUCUGUAAGUCAGUGGUGAAAUCUCACAGCUUAACUGUGAAACUGCCAUUGAUACUGCAGGUCUUGAGUAAAUUUGAAGUGGCUGGAAUAAGUAGU
rnacentral:rRNA from 1 species